rnacentral:rRNA from 1 species
CACGUAGGGGGCGAGCGUUGUCCGGAAUUACUGGGCGUAAAGCGCGCGCAGGCGGUUCUUCAAGUCAGAGGUGAAAGCCCAGAGCUCAACUCUGGAAUGGCCUUUGAGACUAGAGAACUAGGGUACGGGAGAGGUGAGUGGAAUUCCGAGUGUAGAGGUGAAAUUCGUAGAUAUUCGGAAGAACACCAGUGGCGAAGGCGGCUCACUGGCCCGUUACCGACGCUCAGGCGCGACAGCGUGGGGAGCAAACAGG